AUCGGGAUUGGGAAUAGCAGUGUCGGGAAUAGCAAUGUCGGGAAUAGCAGUGUGAGGAUCGGGAAUACCACUGUCGGGAACAGCGAGGUGAAUGGUGCCUGCAGGUGGAGGUAUGGUCGCACUGACACUCCGAAGGUUUCAGCUUCAUCCCCCUGCCCCAUCCACAUCUCAUCAAGGAUUUUGUCGAAGGGAUGCCACACAGACAUGGGUCAGGGCUUUGAGAGGCUUGGCUGAAGAUUUUUGAUAGGCAUGAAAGGCAUUUAGGUCUUGGACACAGAGCAGAAUAGGUUUGUAAUGGUUUAUUUUAAUACUGGAGUUGAAUAUACAGUCGCUGAUUAAAGGAGGAGUGAGAGCCAUAGACCUCUGCACACGUCAGUGAGCUGGGCUGGAACAUCUGUCCGAGGGUCAGCAGGGUGUUCUUGGAGUGAGUGCCUGCUACCACGCUUGGGAAGUCUGAAUUGUGGUUUUCAAGGUACUCACAGACUUUAGGCACUAUUCUUUGUCUGUCUCGUUAGCCACGUUAGUACAUUAGCACCUAAAAUAAGUGUCCCUAGUAUAUCAAUUAUUUAAACACUAGCAGGGUUUACAUACUUUUAAUUGACUUUUUUAUAAGGUAAAAACAGGUUUGGGAACUUUGUAGAAAUGUUGAUAAGAAUUCUGUUACUCCUUUCUGCUAAGCUGAAUGAGUUGUCAGCAAGGAGACACAGGGCUUUUUUCUUAAAAUGUGUCAGUCCCAUCAGUGCUGAAGUGUCUUAAAUAUGUCUUUGUUUUUGGCAGCAUAACGUGUUCCUACAAUAAUAUUGAUUUAUUUACUAAAAAAAUAAAAAAGGUUGUGUGACCCUUCUGUCUUCCUCUAAAAGAUUUGAAUAGGAUUUCUCUGUGUCUGCCUAUGAGAAAAUGUUAUUAAAAUUCACAAAGUUUCAUUUAUUAAAUGAACUGCAGGGCACACAUGAAGUGUUUGGUUCCACAGAGUGAGAUUUGUGCCUUUGCCAUCAAUUAUCAUUCUCAUGUGUUUAGGGCUUGGCUGGCUUGGGCUUGGAAGGCUGAGCACGGCUGUGAUCACGCCAUGUGAUCUCUUCCCAAAAUUUGUGUUUAUCAUUACAUAAUUACAUGAAUAAACAAUCUUUUGCAUGCUUCACAAAGAAUUUGUAAAAUUCAUAGAAGAAAGCACAAAGCUCUCUUUGUUUUGUUGUAAAGAUGCAACCACAAAGGCAUGAAAAUAAAUGCCUGCUUUGCUCUUUCUUGUCUGAAAUAAGGAAAAAGUUGAGGUUUUCACCACGGCGUGUCCUUGGUGCAGCUGCACAGUUGUGCUUGUGCCGUGCUGCAGAGGGGGCAAGGCUGCUUCUGUCUCAAGCUGAGCAGGGACAGCCCCUCAGGACCAUGGCACAGAGAAAUCCGUGCUCCUGGAAUGCUCUGACAUGUUGUCUUUUGAAUUAUUUGGGUUUUUUACUCCAGAGACUGAAUCAAAACCAGCAGAAAACUUGGUGAGGUUGACCAUGAGGGACAAGCUCCCAGAUACAGACAGGAAAAGGAGCUUUCCUUGGUACUCCAGGGGUACAAAGGGGAAAGGGAGACUUCGUGCUUUGCUUUCCCAGAGGUGUGACCUGGGGUCAGUGAUGACCCUGGCAGCACGAUGAGCCUCUCUGAUGCUGCGGGGAGCCUGGCACUGAAAGAACAGCCCCAGGAAAACUGAGCUUCCACCCUGCCCAGGGCUGCCCAGAGCUUUCCUGGCCGCCUGGAGCUGAUUUCACAUCGGCCCGUGCCCCCGUGUGGCAAAGGCCCACGGUGCACAGCUCUGCUCGCAGCUCCCGAACGCUUCCUGCCAGUGCUGCCCUCUCGCUGUGUUCUGGGAUUGCUGGGGCCAGGGGCAGGGUGCGUUUCACCUGCGGGGUUCCUGAGCUUCCUCUCAGGAAUCAGCUGCUUGGAAAUCCCGCGGGCUCGGCGUGGUGCUGUUCUGCCCUGUGGUGUUAUUCCAGCACACAGUGUGCUCUGCAGCCAGCUUUUCUGAGCAUUCCCCAAUUCCAGCUGAGCAGGUAACUGAAGAAUCACUGUAUGGGGAUAGUCCAUAAAGUGGGCUAUGAAACCUUUAACCUUUUGCCUUCAUUUUUUCAUCCAGCUGUUCAGGGCCCUUUCUUCCCUUGCACAAAACCUUCCCCAGGUUUUGCAGCCUUCUAGUGCUUUAAGGGAGAGAGGGACUUUUUAUCUGGGUAGAUAGUGACAGGACAGGGGAUACAGACUUGAAACUGUCAGAGGCACAUUUAGGCCAGAUAUAAAGAAAUUCUUCCCUGUGAGGGUGGGCAGGCCCUGGCACAGGGUGCCCAGAGCAGCUGUGGCUGCCCCUGGAUCCCUUGGCAGUGCCCAAGGCCAGGCUGGACAGGGCUUGGACCCACCUAGGAUAGUGGAACAUGUCCCUGCCCAUUGCAGGGGUGGAAGUGGAUGGGCUUUAAAUGUCCCUUCCAACCCAAACCAUUCUGUGAUUCCAUAAUUCUGUGAUUUGAACAUUUUAUUCCACUUUUUGUUUCUUUGUAUCCCAGGGGAUAGCAGUGUUCUUUUCUAGCAUAAACACAGCCUUUACAGAGAUGAUUCAGGUUUUCUCUGGGAGCCUUUCACUUGCACUGUUUAUGCAGGCACAUCGUGUGUUGUACAAUGUCUCUCUUGUUUGCCACGAGCAUCAGCGUGGUGGGAAGGCAGCAAAGACUCAGAGGGACACUCAGCAGAUGUAAGGAAACAAUGCCAGCAGCAGGAGAAAAAGCUGGAGAGGCUGCUCCUGGGGCUGGGCACGUCCUCUGGGAUGUGACAAUGCUGUGGUGAGUGUGGAGAGCAUCCCGAGUGGAAGCAGGUUUGUGCGCAGAGUCACUGGAACCAUUGGAUCUUCUCCAUACUGAGUAAUGGGCUGGAACUCUCACCUUUCCUGGGAACAAUGAACUAUCCCUACUGCCACAGGUUUUCUGAGGGAUUUGGCCCGGGCAGAAUGCUGGUGACAGCUCCUGUCCUUUGGCACACAGCAGUGUGAGGAUGGAAACCCUCUCUGCCCGCUGGCUGUGGUGUCAGAGCAGGACAGGUUCUGCAGGUGCAGUCCUGCUUUCUGUAGUGACCAUUUCAUAUCCUUUCCUUUGGCUUUGGGUGGAUUUGGUUCCUGUUCCUCCUAAAAAUAUGCAAACAUGUCUCUGACAAGUUACAAGUCUUCUCCUGAUUCUGUAGAAUUUUCUUGUCCUGACUAAUUUUUUUCCUUGGGCUUUUAUAUGGGCCUUUGUAUUGAGUUUCCUUUUACUGCCUUUUUGGUCUUUGAUUCACAGUUGCUAACUUCAAGACCUUAAAGCUGUGCUUUGACCUUUACAGCUCUGACAGUUUGCUAAGACAAGUGAGAAGUUGUUCUAGGAGAGUUAGUUAUCACAAAAGGGUAGAUGUUUCCUUAGCCCCAUGUUUUACAACAUCACAGGUAAAGUAAUGGGAAAAGAUCUGAGUGUUUUCAGCUUCAAGUGGCUGUACUUCAAAAUAACAAUGAAGAAAUUUGGAAGUCUGCAGCUUUGACUAGAGUGAAUUCUUUCUCAAAUGAGGGAAUUGAGGAAUUUUGAGACCCUCCCCCUGUGCAUGGUAUGUGUCCUCCUUGCAGAAGGAUGUUAAUACACCAACGUGGCAGGAGAGGAAGGUGUAACCUACUGUGCUUAUUUCAGAAACCUACUUUUAUCAUUCACCUGGGUGUAACUGUUUGGCUUUCUAAAAUGAAUACUUAAAUAUUUUGCAUUUAAAAAGCCUACAAUGGUUGAAGGUAUAUAUUGCUGAAGUGGAGUGUUCCAAUUUUAAAACAGAUUUGUUUUGGCUGUGGGCUCAUCUACCAUCCAUGGAAACCUGUGCCAGUAAAAACAGAUGUGGAAGCUGUCUGUCCAGAGGGUGAACUGAGGAGCCUGUGCAGUCAUGUUGGAGCAACGUGGACACUUGGUUCCUUUGGGGACAUGAGCAGCACAAUGUGAAGGACCCACUUAGUCACAACCAACUGUUCUGGAAGUGACUUCAGAGAGUGAUUUUGUUUUUAAUAAAAAAAUACAGUGCUUUAAAAUUGUAAUUGCACUUGAGGAAACUGCAUUUGAUUCAGAGAUAUUAUGGAAGCAAUAAAGAGAUUUAAAAGAAA